UACAGAGGUCCCAAGCGUUGUUCGGAUUCAUUGGGCGUAAAGGGUGCGUAGGUGGCGUCGUAAGUCGGGUGUGAAAUCUCGGGGCUUAACUCCGAAACUGCAUUCGAUACUGCGGUGCUCGAGGACUGGAGAGGAGACUGGAAUUUACGGUGUAGCAGUGAAAUGCGUAGAGAUCGUAAGGAAGACCAGUGGCGAAGGCGGGUCUCUGGACAGUUCCUGACACUGAGGCACGAAGGCCAGGGGAGCAAACGGG
rnacentral:rRNA from 1 species